rnacentral:rRNA from 1 species
GAUGAACGCUGGCGGCGUGCUUAACACAUGCAAGUCGAACGAUGAUGCCCAGCUUGCUGGGUGGAUUAGUGGCGAACGGGUGAGUAACACGUGAGUAACCUGCCCCUGACUCUGGGAUAAGCGUUGGAAACGACGUCUAAUACUGGAUAUGACUGCCGGCCGCAUGGUCUGGUGGUGGAAAGAUUUUUUGGUUGGGGAUGGACUCGCGGCCUAUCAGCUUGUUGGUGAGGUAAUGGCUCACCAAGGCGACGACGGGUAGCCGGCCUGAGAGGGUGACCGGGCACACUGGGGCUGAGACACGGCCCAGACUGCUGCGGGAGGCAGCAGUGGGGAAUAUUGCACAAUGGGCGAAAGCCUGAUGCAGCAACGCCGCGUGAGGGAUGACGGCCUUCGGGUUGUAAACCUCUUUUAGUAGGGAAGAAGCGAAAGUGACGGUACCUGCAGAAAAAGCACCGGCUAACUACGUGCCAGCCGCCGCCGUAA